AAUAGGUUUUGUAUUUUAAAUUGAUAUAAUCAAGACAAGUUAAGUGAAUUUCAUGACAUUUUUAAUAGGGAACUAAGCAAAGACCUAAAAAAUAGUUUUUAGUUUGAAGCUAUAUGGUUGUCUCAUCUUGGUUAAUGCUUAACUUUUUAUUACUGGCCUGUUGUAACAUUUCUGGAAAGCUGGUAGCACACACUACAUUGUUAAACUGGAAUGCAACUGGGCAUGAGGCCGAUUAAAUUACACUGGUUAAUGAAUCAUUCAAAAAAGUGAUAAGCAAGCCAUUUUACAUGGUCUCUUUCCAGCUCCACCACAGAAUUUCUUUGGGGUUUUUUACUGAAGUCAGCAGACCAGUAUAACAAUGGAAGCAUGUCUUGGAUCUGAGCCUAUCCUGCUGUAGCUGUUUGCCAACAUUGAUGCUGACAAAGGGGAAGCCUUACAUCAAAAGCAAUGAGAAGCCAAAUUUCUGUACGAGCUGGAGCUGCAGACCUAAAUCUAAAUGAAAGUAUUAUAUUUCUACUCCAGAAAAAUAAAGCAUUAAUUAAUAAAAGUUCAUUUACUUUUCCUUAAGUAGUCUCUCAUUCUACUGAUUUUUACCUGACUGGAAUUACCAUGGUCCUUUCCAACCCAAACUAUUCUAUG